rnacentral:rRNA from 1 species
GACAGAGGGUGCAAGCAUUGAUCGGAAUUACUGGGCGUAAAGGGCGCGUAGGCGGUUAGGUAAGUCAGAUGUGAAAUUCCGGGGCUCAACCCCCGGAGCUGCAUUUGAAACUGCAAGACUAGAGUACAGUUAGGGUAAACGGAAUUCCACGUGUAGCGGUGAAAUGCGUAGAGAUCCGGAAGAACACCGGUGGCGAAGGCGGCCUGCUGGGCAGUUGCUGACACUGAGGCGCGACAGCGUGGGGAGCAAACAGG